UACGGAGGGAGCAAGCGUUACUCGGGAUCACUGGGCGUAAAGGGCGCGUAGGCGGCCUAGCAAGUCUGGUGUGAAAGCCCAGGGCUCAACCCUGGAAGGGCACUGGAAACUGUUAGGCUUGAGUUCCGGAGAGGAGGGGGGAAUUCCCGGUGUAGCGGUGGAAUGCGUAGAUAUCGGGAGGAAUACCGGUGGCGAAGGCGCCCAUCUGGACGGAAACUGACGCUGAGGCGCGAAAGCGUGGGGAGCAAACAGG
rnacentral:rRNA from 1 species